GACGGACGCUGGCGGCGUGCUUAACACAUGCAAGUCGAGCGGUAAGGCCCUUUCGGGGGUACACGAGCGGCGAACGGGUGAGUAACACGUGGGUGACCUGCCCUCAGCUCUGGGAUAAGCCCGGGAAACUGGGUCUAAUACCGGAUAUGACUUCAUGACGCAUGUUGUGGAGUGGAAAGCCUUGUGCGGCUGAGGAUGGGCCCGCGGCCUAUCAGCUUGUUGGUGGGGUGANGGCCUACCAAGGCGACGACGGGUAGCCGGCCUGAGAGGGCGACCGG
rnacentral:rRNA from 1 species